rnacentral:rRNA from 1 species
AUUGAACGCUGGCGGCAGGCUUAACACAUGCAAGUCGAGCGGGGUGAUGGUGCUUGCACUAUCACUUAGCGGCGGACGGGUGAGUAAUGCUUAGGAAUCUGCCUAUUAGUGGGGGACAACAUCUCGAAAGGGAUGCUAAUACCGCAUACGUCCUACGGGAGAAAGCAGGGGAUCACUUGUGACCUUGCGCUAAUAGAUGAGCCUAAGUCGGAUUAGCUAGUUGGUGGGGUAAAGGCCUACCAAGGCGACGAUCUGUAGCGGGUCUGAGAGGAUGAUCCGCCACACUGGGACGGAGAACCGGGCCAGACUCCUACGGGAGGCAGCAGUGGGGAAUAUUGGACAAUGGGGGGAACCCUGAUCCAGCCAUGCCGCGUGUGUGAAGAAGGCCUUAUGGUUGUAAAGCACUUUAAGCGAGGAGGAGGCUCUUUUGGUUAAUACCCAAGAUGAGUGGACGUUACUCGCAGAAUAAGCACCGGCUAACUCUGUGCCAGCCGCCGCAGUAA